rnacentral:rRNA from 1 species
CCUACGGGAGGCAGCAGUAGGGAAUCCUCCACAAUGGACGAAAGUCUGAUGGAGCAACGCCGCGUGAGUGAAGAAGGUUUUCGGAUCGUAAAGCUCUGUUGUUGGUGAAGAAAGAUAGUGAGAGUAACUGCUCAUUAUUUGCCGGUAAUCAACCAGAAAGUCACGGCUAACUACGUGCCAGCAGCCGCGGUAAU